rnacentral:other from 1 species
UUGUGGCCGAAACUCCAGGCUCAGAGGCCAGCCCAAAAGAACUCGCGCGAGUAGGGGGCGGCGCGCGGGAAGGGGGGAGAGCCGGGGG